AAAGAGACGCGGUUGAUCUUGUCAGACUCUCCAACUGCAUAUUAAGCAUAAACUGAAAACCAGGAGAUAUCAACCUCAUGCUGCAUCGCCAGCCACACUUUGUGUUUUGCUUUUCAAUGCCUCGGUCACAUUUGACAAGAUGCCACAUAUUUUUGCUUCUGCAGUUAAAGAAUUGACAACUUCUUCUAAAGAUUUCAAUUCCUCGUGAAACUCUUUAUGUAAAACCAAAGAGGAGAAAUGCUCAUCAACAACCAAACCAAUGCACUUGGCUACGUCCUCGAGUGAAGGAACCCAUUCACAAGCCUUCAACCCCAAUUCAACUGGUGCCUUAGGACAAGGACACACCUGAGGAAACCUCUCAUAUUUAUUCAACCACUUUUGCAAGUACCGAAUCAUAACCAUUAUCUCUGAACCAGUUAAUUUACUAAUACAAGCACCCAUAAUAACUUCAUCCACAUUCCUCGACGCAAGUAAAUAAUGCAAACACAUUUCAGAAACUGAGAACCCAUCAUGUGCUAGCAUAAGCAAUAAUGAAGCAUCCCUAGCUAUAUCCAUCCUAACCGGACCGAGGCUCACAUCCUUUGCCUUCUCAAUUGCAGACAUUGCUUGACUCUCCCAUUCCCUCCUCACAUUAAUCAAAGUAACAUCCCCAUUUUUCGAAAGGGAGAGAAAAUACUUCAGCACACACAUCAUAUCAUAAGUUUGAAUAUCUAAUACAUGUUUUACACACAAAACAACCAGCCAAGAUUGCUUCUUUUCAAUUAGGUUAUUUAUCAAACUUGAUAUGCCUGAAUGAUCAACAAUCCCAUUAACAAUCAUACACUCCAAGAUCUCCCAAGUCUCUAAAACAACACAAGCCUCUAAGACCAAACCCUUGACAUCUCUACCCAUAAAACUACCGAGCUUUUCAAUCAUUUUUACAAUAUUACCCUCAUCCACCCUAUCAGGACUAACUGAAAUCCCAAAUAUAUCCCAGAUUCCCUUCAUAUAGGAAACCAACACCUCAAAGAAUUCGUCUUUAUUGAACGUGUUGGGGUUCUUCAUCAUCUUCUUCAAUUUUUUGAAGAAUUUUUGUCCUGACUCCAUCACUUCAGCAUCAGUCGAUAAAAGGCUCCACCCAGUCCCUCGCUUGAGUAGAGAAAUAUCAUCGUUAUCCUCCUUUUCGGGUUUCAGUUGAAGCAGAACUGGUUCGGAGUUGAGAAGAAUAGAGAAAUCACCAUCGGAGGUGGUUGAGGAAUUUCCAAUGGAAGCUUUAGUGAUAACUUCCAGUAAAGACAUUGAGAAAAAUGGAUACUUUCUUCGACUGUAGAGAGGAAAUUGCUGAGCAGAGAAGGAUAACAGGAGGUUGUUCAGAAAGGGCGGAGGAGAACGGAGAGAGGCAACGGCGGCUUUAGGGUAAGGCAGCGAAG
rnacentral:misc_RNA from 1 species